UACGUAGGUGGCAAGCGUUGUCCGGAUUUACUGGGCGUAAAGGAUGCGUAGGCGGAUAUUUAAGUCAGAUGUGAAAUUCCCGAGCUUAACUUGGGAGCUGCAUUUGAAACUGAGUAUCUAGAGUGUGGGAGAGGAAAGUGGAAUUCCUAGUGUAGCGGUGAAAUGCGUAGAGAUUAGGAAGAACCCCAGUGGCGAAGGCGACUUUCUGGACCAUAACUGACGCUGAGGCAUGAAAGCGUGGGGAGCAAACAGG
rnacentral:rRNA from 1 species